UAAUGUACCCAGUGUAUACGCCACUCUAGUUAAUACCGUACACGGUGUGACCUCUCUCUCUCUCUUCUAACAGUUAUAAUAGACCUGUACCACGGUGUGACCUCUCUCAUCUCUCUCGCAACAGUUAUAAUAGACCUGUACCACGGUGUGACCUCUCUCUCUCUCUCUAACAGUUAUAAUAGACCUGUACCACGGUGUGACCUCUCUCUCUCUCUCUAA
rnacentral:lncRNA from 1 species